CUUAUUGAGAGCGGCGGAGGGAAUAGGCCCAAUGAAGCCCGGCAACCGGUUGAAUUCGGUGCUAAAUCCUACGGCUCUGGCCGGCAGAUGAG
rnacentral:ncRNA from 1 species